rnacentral:rRNA from 1 species
AUUGGAGUAGCAUACUUCAGAUGGCGACCGGCGCACGGGUGAGUAACACGUAUCCAACCCGUCACUUACUCGGGGAUAGCCUUUCGAAAGAAAGAUUAAUACUCGAUGGUAUAAAGAGUUCGCAUGUUCUCUUUAUUAAAGAAUUUCGGUAAGCGAUGGGGAUGCGUUCCAUUAGAUUGUUGGCGGGGUAACGGCCCACCAAGUCUACGAUGGAUAGGGGUUCUGAGAGGAAGGUCCCCCACAUUGGAACUGAGACACGGUCCAAACUCCUACGGGAGGCAGCAGUGAGGAAUAUUGGUCAAUGGGCGAGAGCCUGAACCAGCCAAGUAGCGUGAAGGAUGACUGCCCUAUGGGUUGUAAACUUCUUUUAUAAGGGAAUAAAGUGAGGGACGUGUCCCUUUUUGUAUGUACCUUAUGAAUAAGGAUCGGCUAACUCCGUGCCAGCAGCCGCGGUAAUACGGAGGAUCCAAGCGUUAUCCGGAUUUAUUGGGUUUAAAGGGAGCGUAGGUUGACAUAUAAGUCAGCUGUGAAAGUUUACGGCUCAACCGUGAAAUUGCAGUUGAUACUGGCGACCUUGAGUGCAACAGAGGUGGGCGGAAUUCGUGGUGUAGCGGUGAAAUGCUUAGAUAUCACGAAGAACUCCGAUUG